AGAUGAGGAUGGUGAUGGGGAUCCCGAUGCUCCUCCUGCUCCCGCGGCUCCUCUCCUCCUCACCUCCGCCUCCUCCACCUCCGCCUCGCAUUGCUGGCCUCAGCCGCCGCCGACCAGCACAGGUCUUUGCAGAAGAUAGAUUCUGCAGCAUCUGUUGCAAAGAACCGGGAAGCAGUCCGUCUUGUCUAUUAACGUAAGCUGAGAAAGGAAGCCCUGUCUCAUGAACCAACUCUGCUGCAGGGUCUCUGAGUCACAGGAGAGCUUUUGGAGAUGCUUUGAGCCCACAGCACCAUGGUCAGAUUUAUAGCUAGUGGGACUGCACACAGUCUCCAUUGCGUGCUGCGGGAAUACUCAGAGGAGGACAUUAAAGUUUAUCACCGAGGUUCAGGUGCCAGGGAUGGCCAAAUCUUUUCUUUCAGAGACUGCUGCAGGGCAUGAGAGUUUUCUACCCUGAAGAUCCUGCAGAUGCAUGGUACUGAUGCUCCUUUCUGUCUGGAAAUUUUCUCCACUGCCAAAGCCUCAAGGUAUUCCAGGUUCUUCCAGUUUCCCCUUCUUUACAAAAUGCCCAAGUCUCACACUGCUGCAUAGCUGUUGGAAACAUUAAUACUAUCUGCAGCUUUUAUGCAGGUGACUAUUCACUGCAACAUCCUAUACAAGUUCAAGUUUGGUGGCAUGGCUUUCUCCUGAAAUGGGUAUUAAGUUUGGCAUAAGGUUUGCUGAUUGCAAAAUGGUGUUGGCCACUGCCAUGCUAUGAUAGCUGCAUAUCAGAAAUACAUUUGAAUAAAGAGGUUCAAGAGACAAUUAUUAGAGCAGCCACAGAAAAUAACUAAACUGUCAUGUUCCUCUUCAGGACAUGGUCUAAGCUUUAUGGCCAGCAGCCAUCCAAAUAGUGUUGUCGUCUGCCUUUGUCCAUUAGCCUCCAGUAAAAACACAACUGCAGGGCUGAUUUCCAGUGGCACAGACCUACUAACCCAAAAGGUGCUUACUCCCUGGAAGACUGAGCUGCGGCAGCACAGGUUGCUCCAGGUUAGACAGCGGGCUGGAGGCUGAGCGGUAACUUAGGUCUAGGUGAGAGAGGAGAAUAUGGAUUUAAUGCUAUAAACUACAUAUAAUGCUACAUUUAAUAUACUGUUCCUGUUCUCACAAGGAGAAACUGCAUUCUCCAUUAACUGCAAUUUUUACAUAGUUUUAAUAAAGAUAAUUCACCAUUUAAAAAAAUGGUAAAAAAAACAUUUUUAAUAUCCACAGUUCAUUAAGGUAUGAACAAAAUUGCUGCUUCCCAGACUCUUUAUCACUGCAUCUUUCUUAGACUUGUAUCCUCAAGGUUCAUUUUUCUAAAUGGCAUAAUUUUAGCAGAAAGUAAGGUCAGUGCACUCCCGGAUUGCACACUGCCUAUCCCUCCUGCAAAUGUACAGGUAUAUGGAGAUGCUCAGCACCUCUGAAAGCCAGGCUUGCGAUGCUGCUAAAGUAAACGUGCAGAGCAUGAAUACUGCAAUUACCAGAGAAUUCAAAAAAAGUAAAUCUGUUUUUUUUCAAAGUAUAAUAAAACUGGAAAAUUAAAAAAAUUCCUGAGGUGCUCUUUUUGAUCAAUUAUAACUUUGGCUUCAUUUCCAUUUAGGCAUUUCUUUUAUUGUACAAUGCAAAAUAUCAACUACAUUGUGAGUGACAUAAAAGCUUUUUUUCCAGACAGGAAUGCCAGAACACUUCCAUUGUUUUGGGUUUUUUUUUCAAACACAUUUUUUAGUAAAUACAAUUUUACAAAGCAGUUAAUCUCAGUAGCGCUAAAUUCUCCAAUAGAAAAGGGGACUGACUUUUUUUUUUGUAAUAGAAAUUAUAUAGUCUGGAAAUUUUCACAUUUAAAAGUUUUAUAGUUCUAUUUAAAUCUUUCCUCUUUUCUUUUUACCAAAAAAAAUCAUGUAAGCCCUUUAUAAUUAAUCUGAAUGGAAGUGUCUCCUCAUGUAAAAACCUCUCCCUUGGGUCCAGUCUAGGAAUGGUUAAGUUGUAUGUUUUAAUGCAUUUGCGCACUUAUAGAAGUUCUGAAAUAAAGUAAGUAUUGGUGUUGAUGGAAGAGAAAGCACAAAUGAAGUGACAGUCUAUAAAGUUAUCACCUCUGCAGAGAUGGUGAAAAGGCAAACUUUGCUCAUGUGUCACAGUAAAAGAAGUGACAGCAUGAGGAAGCAUUCAGAUGGAAGGUUUAAAAUGAGAGGGGAAGAAAAAAAGGAAGUUUUCCCACAGAAAAAUAAUUAAACUGAACUCAUCGUGAAAAAACACGGUGGAACCCAAGAGAGAGAGUUAAAAAUGGAUUGGAUGAAUUCAUUGAAGAUAGGUCUGAUCAACAUCCAUCAAACACAGGUCUGACCACAGCUCUGCUUAGGAGCAACCCGAGCCCCAUCCUCAGGGAGGCCAUGCCACUGAAAACCAAUGUGUCUCACACUCCUUCCCAAAACUUUGGUAUUUGCUGCUGUCGGUGGUGGGACAAUCACUGCCUGUGCAGAAAUCCAGCCAAAUCAUAGAGAUGCCACAUUCUGUGAAUGACAGUACAGAUACAUGUUCCUAGCUCUACAUACAGAGGUCUGGGUAUGCACGCUGAGAUACACACAGCUGGGAACCCACAUGUAUGUUCAGCUUGAAAAAGCUGGCUUCAGAAGUUAGGAAAUUAAAAGGUGUCUCACAACAGAGUUUUUUAGGCAUCCUCCUCAAAAAGAUACUAUGCUAGAUACCUCUUCUUAAUAUGCAUUUUUGUUAACAAUCUCUUCAAUCUAAACUAUGAAACAAGCUGUGCAACAUGACUGAACGAAUAUUGCUGUGAGAAAUAUUUUCCCCCUUGUUUGAGUAAUUUAAAUUUGUAAGCUAAUGUAAGUUUUUGUAUUAAAUAAUGUACUGUGUGCAAUUUUCUUUCUUGUAAAGCACUUUGAAGCUUUCAAAGGGCACUCUAGGUUAAUAAAUAAUACGCUAUUCUUUGCCAGAACUGUAGGGCAUUUCCCAUAAGUUCUGAAUCUUCUUUGCCAGAAUUGCAACAUGUUGCAUGCCAAAUCCUGCACACAAAUGUUCUACAUGUGGCAAAUACAUAUUGGUGAAGACCAGAGGCAUGGCAUUCCUGGAUUUCUUAGAGAGAGUGGGAGAAGAGAAAGAAGUGGGAAGAAAUAAUGAGGGAGGGCAGAGAAAGAAAACACAAACAUAUGUCUGUGCAUACAUCUAAAGAAACCAACAAAAACCAAC